CUGCUUUUAAAAUGCAGGUUUGAAGAUAUUCUCCUUUCAAGGCUUUUUUUUCAUCUCUGUUUCUCACUAGGCUCUCUGAAUUGCUUUUUUUUGUUUAGUUUGAGAGUGAUUUUAUUAUUUCCUGAAAUGAAGCAUCCUUCUGAAUUAGUCAAGACCCAAAAUACCUUGGAAGUGCCUAUAACUGAGCUUGCAAAAAGGAGAAAGUGUUUGCUGAAGACAUGAGAGCUGACCUGGAGAGACCUCACUGGAACUUUCUGACUUUUGAAACCGUCCCAGUACAGGACUGGCCUGGUGUGAGGUGGAGGUGAGCU
rnacentral:lncRNA from 1 species